rnacentral:rRNA from 1 species
UACAGAGGGGGCAAGCGUUGUUCGGAAUUAUUGGGCGUAAAGCGCGUGUAGGCGGUCUGUUAAGUCUGAUGUGAAAGCCCCGGGCUCAACCUGGGAAGUGCAUUGGAAACUGGGAGACUUGAAUACGGGAGAGGGCAGUGGAAUUCCUAGUGUAGGAGUGAAAUCCGUAGAUAUUAGGAGGAACACCGGUGGCGAAGGCGGCUGCCUGGACCGAUACUGAUGCUGAGACGCGAAAGCGUGGGGAGCAAAC